rfam:Haemonchus contortus, ISE/inbred ISE, WGS project CAVP01000000 data, contig: Hcontortus_38534
GGCCCUGUGGCCAAGUGGAUAAGGCGUCGGACUUCGGAUCCGAAGAUUGCAGGUUCGAGUCCUGCCAGGGUCG